rnacentral:rRNA from 1 species
AGUAACGCGUAAAGAACUUGCCUUGCAGUCUGGGACAACGUCUGGAAACGGACGCUAAUACCGGAUAUUAUGAUUGAAUUACAUGAUUUAAUUAUGAAAGCUAUAUGCGCUGCGAGAGAGCUUUGCGUCCCAUUAGUUAGUUGGUGAGGUAACGGCUCACCAAGACGAUGAUGGGUAGCCGGCCUGAGAGGGUGAACGGCCACAAGGGGACUGAGACACGGCCCUU